AACGAACGCUGGCGGCAUGCCUAACACAUGCAAGUCGAACGAGACCUUCGGGUCUAGUGGCGCACGGGUGCGUAACGCGUGGGAACCUGCCCUUAGGUUCGGAAUAACUCCCCGAAAGGGGUGCUAAUACCGGAUAAUGUCUUCGGACCAAAGAUUUAUCGCCUUUGGAUGGGCCCGCGUUGGAUUAGCUAGUUGGUAGGGUAAAAGCCUACCAAGGCGACGAUCCAUAGCUGGUCUGAGAGGAUGAUCAGCCACACUGGGACUGAGACACGGCCCAGACUCCUACGGGAGGCAGCAGUGGGGGAUAUUGGACAAUGGGCGAAAGCCUGAUCCAGCAAUGCCGCGUGAGUGAUGAAGGCCUUAGGGUUGUAAAGCUCUUUUACCCGGGAUGAUAAUGACAGUACCGGGAGAAUAAGCUCCGGCUAACUCCGCG
rnacentral:rRNA from 1 species